AGGGGUGGGGAGGCGGGGGAGGCUCUCUACCGUCUCAGGCGGAGUCACCCUCGUGCCUCUCCUUGGGGCUGGCUAGGGACCAGAAAGGGGCCAUGAGGCUGGCCCAGGAGGGUCAUUAAGGCCAGUUGUAUGUCAUGUCAUUCCUCUUAGUUUGCCUCAUGGGGCGGGGGAUGUAUUCAUUAGAGUAGAUCCUAAGCUGCUGUAAUCAGGAGACCCCGAAACACAGUGGUUUAAGCAAGACAGAAGCUUGUUUCUAACAACUGUCUAGAGGGAGACAGUCCCGGGCUCGCAGGGCCCUCUGCUUCCCUUCACACACACUGUCCAAUUCUGGAUAGAAGGGCUGCUCCAGCUCCCACCAUCACAUGUGCAUCCAAGCCUGGGGGAGGCAGAGAAAGGCAAGGGAAGCACAUACCCUUUCCUGUUAUGGGCAUGAGCCGGAGAUGGCACUGUCGCUUCUGAUCGCAUCUCACUGGCCGGGACUUAGUCACGUGGCCACAAGUAGCUGCAAGGGAAGCUGGGAAAGGUAGUCUUCAGCUGGGCGGCCAGGCGCCCAGCCUCAGCGUGGGA